AAUUUCUAUGAGGGAAAUUCCAAGAAGUGUUUGCAACUGUGCAGUGAUUGUUUUCAAGAAAGCCUUAUCAGGGUUCGACUUGAGCUCCUCAUAUUCAGGAGAGCCUUCCUCGGGCAUGAACCUUCGGCUUACGGUUGGACGAUUGGGAAGGUAGCCUGCAUAAGGGUACUGACCAAAAUUGACAGCUGCAUGGAGGGCUGACGCCACCCAUAUGAUUAUGGUGCAUGAGUCUAUUAGCUCUUCACGAGUCAGCAUCUUAGGCCACCAGGGUGCAUCUUUCAGGUCACCAUGCCCUUCCUCUCUCACUUCCUUCCACCAUGAUUGUAGUUCAGAAUCCUUUUGAAUCAUCUCAUCAUUCUUGUAGUAGAAAGAGCAAUAGUCUCUGACCCAUUCUUUGAUUGCUGACCAUAUCUGUAGCCCAUCAACAGCGU